CAAAUAAUAAUGCAAGAAUUUACACUUCUAAUAAAUAGGUUAUACUUGCGAUAUGCUAUAGCCUCUAUUUGGGAAAUGACUCAUUUCCCAUGGUUAUCUGAAAGACUUUGUCUGAUGGGCACACCACUCCUGAAUCCUUUUCCGAUUGGCUGAGAAAGACUGCCAAAGAAUUCUGAAUCCAGUAAUUACCAUCUCCAGACCAUGUACGCACUCAGGGCGUAAGGCACUCAAGAAGAGACACCGAGAUCCC